rnacentral:tRNA from 1 species
UGUUCCAUAGUGUAACAGCACGUCUGCUUUACACGCAGAAGGUCCUGGGUUUGUACCCCAGUACAGCCA